rfam:Gossypium hirsutum cultivar TM-1 chromosome 6, whole genome shotgun sequence
AAUCUGUGGUGCGGGCAUUUUUGAAUCUACAUUUUGAACCGUUCCCAUGCCUCAUAGAAACUUUCUCCCUCCAUCUUUCUAAAAACAAAAAUCUCUCUUCUUAGUUG